UACAUACUGAUUUUUGGACAUAUCAGUACGUACUGCUGGUAUAGUAGGCGAUUUCGGAAACAGCCCUGGUCUUCACUCCACUACUCUGCCAGAUAAUUCCGUCUUGUUCGGUACUCCGGUGUGCCUCACUGCCUCGACUGAUCCUUGCCUGUGUUCCCUGCAUCGCCAUCAGGAUCAACUUUUCUGGCCAGCAAGCUCCCUGCCUUCACUACCUGUUCUGUUUUUUGAACAUUAAAUGGUUUAUUUUUACAUUUA